rnacentral:rRNA from 1 species
AUUGAACGCUGGCGGCAUGCCUUACACAUGCAAGUCGAACGGCAGCACGGGUGCUUGCACCUGGUGGCGAGUGGCGAACGGGUGAGUAAUACAUCGGAACAUGUCCUGUAGUGGGGGAUAGCCCGGCGAAAGCCGGAUUAAUACCGCAUACGAUCCACGGAUGAAAGCGGGGGACCUUCGGGCCUCGCGCUAUAGGGUUGGCCGGUGGCUGAUUAGCUAGUUGGUGGGGUAAAGGCCUACCAAGGCGACGAUCAGUAGCUGGUCUGAGAGGACGACCAGCCACACUGGGACUGAGACACGGCCCAGACUCCUACGGGAGGCAGCAGUGGGGAAUUUUGGACAAUGGGCGAAAGCCUGAUCCAGCAAUGCCGCGUGUGUGAAGAAGGACUUCGGGUUGUAAAGCACUUUUGUCCGGAAAGAAAUCCUUGACUCUAAUACAGUCGGGGGAUGACGGUACCGGAAGAAUAAGCACCGGCUAACUACGUG